rnacentral:misc_RNA from 1 species
GAAGAAAAUGAUGGCCACAAACACUACUUAUAACUUAUAAACAUGAAUAAUAAAUACUAGAAUUCCCUCUCCUUUUUAAGAAUUAUUACAUUUUCACUUUGAAAAAUAGUCUUCGGUCCUCCCCUUGAACCCGAUUUGUCCGAAGGUAAGCAUUAUGAAGAGGCCCAAGUGCCACGUAAUAAGCCACAACCAGAACUGAGAAGUGAGGGCAGGUGGAGAAGGAAAAUGCGCAAGCUCUGCUCCAAUGCUCUCAAAGAAUAGUCCCGUCAAGCUCUUCCCAUUGAUUACCGGAAUGCUCGAUGGCGCAAUCCACCCGAUCAGUGCAAAUCCGAUCACAUUCAGAUCUCUCCGCAGCCAAUCUCUCUCAAAGCAGGUGAAUCUUCCGCCGGAUGCACGUGCCACAGCGAGAGGAUUCCUGGCGGCGAGCGGUGACCUGACGAACCCGGAGACGAGACGGGGAGUUCUGGAGGAAGGAGAAGAAAGGGAGGAGGUUCCGAGACCGACGACGGAGGAGGAGGUAGCGAAGGCGGUGGCCAUUUUUUGAGAGGAUUGGUGCGGAUCAGAG